AGAACGAACGCUGGCGGCAUGCCUAAUACAUGCAAGUCGAACGAACACUUCGGUGUUAGUGGCGCACGGGUGCGUAACGCGUGGGAAUCUGCCCUUGGGUUCGGAAUAACAGUUGGAAACGACUGCUAAUACCGGAUGAUGACGAAAGUCCAAAGAUUUAUCGCCCAGGGAUGAGCCCGCGUAGGAUUAGCUAGUUGGUGAGGUAAAGGCUCACCAAGGCGACGAUCCUUAGCUGGUCUGAGAGGAUGAUCAGCCACACGUGGGACUGAGACACGGCCCAGACUCGUACGGGAGCAGCAGUA
rnacentral:rRNA from 1 species